rnacentral:rRNA from 1 species
CACUCCUACGGGAGGCAGCAGUGGGGAAUAUUGGACAAUGGGCGCAAGCCUGAUCCAGCCAUGCCGCGUGAGUGAUGAAGGCCCUAGGGUUGUAAAGCUCUUUCACCGGUGAAGAUAAUGACGGUAACCGGAGAAGAAGCCCCGGCUAACUUCGUGCCAGCAGCCGCGGUAAUACGAAGGGGGCUAGCGUUGUUCGGAUUUACUGGGCGUAAAGCGCACGUAGGCGGACUAUUAAGUCAGGGGUGAAAUCCCGGGGCUCAACCCCGGAACUGCCUUUGAUACUGGUAGUCUUGAGUUCGAGAGAGGUGAGUGGAAUUCCGAGUGUAGAGGUGAAAUUCGUAGAUAUUCGGAGGAACACCAGUGGCGAAGGCGGCUCACUGGCUCGAUACUGACGCUGAGGUGCGAAAGCGUGGGGAGCAAACAGGAUUAGAUACCCCGGUAGUCCCAUG